rnacentral:tRNA from 1 species
GAGCCCGUGGCUCAAUGGUAGAGCGUUCGACUCAAAUACCAAAGGUCAUGGGUUCGAAUCCCAGGAGUUCC